CACUAUGCUUAUACACAGGGACGCACAGCAGCACACAAACAUGCAAAACAUUAAACAAUAUUACAGUGUGAAAUAGUAUUAUGAUAUGAUCCGCUCUCGCGCUUUCACUUCAUGCACGAGCACAUCAGUUUCUACUCCUG